UUUAGUCAGGCAACGAGCGAGACCCACGCCAACAGUUGCUAGCUCGUCCCCCGGGAUGGAGAGGACACUGUUGGGACCGCCUCUGCUAAAGAGGAGGAAGGAAUGGGCAACGGUAGGUCAGCAUGCCCCGAAUUACCUGGGCUACACGCGGGCUACAAUGGGUGGGACAAUGGGUAUCGACACCGAAAGGUGAAGGCAAUCUCCUAAACCCAUCCUUAGUUCGGAUUGUGGGUUGCAACUCACCCACAUGAAGCUGGAAUCUGUAGUAAUCGUGUCUCAAAAUGGCACGGUGAAUAUGUCCCUGCUCCUUGCACA
rnacentral:rRNA from 1 species